rnacentral:rRNA from 1 species
UACGGGGGGGGCAAGCGUUGUUCGGAAUUACUGGGCGUAAAGGGCUCGUAGGCGGCCAACUAAGUCGGACGUGAAAUCCCUCGGCUUAACCGGGGAACGGCGUCCGAUACUGGAUGGCUUGAGUUUGGGAGAGGGAUGCGGAAUUCCAGGUGUAGCGGUGAAAUGCGUAGAUAUCUGGAGGAACACCGGUGGCGAAGGCGGCGUUCUGGACUGCAACUGACACUGAGGAACGAAAGCCAGGGGAGCAAACGGG